UACGUAGGGUGCAAGCGUUAAUCGGAAUUACUGGGCGUAAAGCGUGCGCAGGCGGUUUUGUAAGCCAGAUGUGAAAUCCCCGGGCUCAACCUGGGAAUGGCAUUUGGGACUGCAAGGCUGGAGUGCGGCAGAGGAGACUGGAAUUCCUGGUGUAGCAGUGAAAUGCGUAGAUAAUCAGGAGGAAUACCGAUGGCGAAGGCAGGUCUCUGGGCUGACACUGACGCUCAUGCACGAAAGCGUGGGGAGCAAACAGG
rnacentral:rRNA from 1 species